UGUGUGCGUGUGUGUGUGUGUGUGUGUGUGUUUGUUUUUUUUUGGCACUGAUUGGUUUGAGAAUGUGCAUGCAUGUGUGAGUGCAUGGACACACACACACACACACACACACAUACACA
rnacentral:miRNA from 1 species